rnacentral:rRNA from 1 species
UACGUAGGGGGCAAGCGUUUUUCGGAUUUACUGGGCGUAAAGGGCGCGUAGGCGGCGCGUAAAGUCGGACAUGAAAUCAUUGGGCUUAACCCAAUGGCUGUGCCCGAUACUUGCGUGCUUAGAGUGCGGGAGAGGCAAUCGGAAUUCUCGGUGUAGCGGUGAAAUGCGUAGAUAUCGAGAGGAACUCCAGUGACGAAGGUGGGUUGCUGGACCGACACUGACGCUGAGGCGCGAAAGCUAGGGGAGCAAACGGG